CAAGAAUUAUCAUCAAGAGCAGCAGGUUUUAUAAGAUACAUGGACCUAUUUGGCAUUUACCAGCCCAUGCCGCUAGGAUAGAGGGACAGGGCUGGGCCCCAAGUGUGGGCUUCCCGGAAGAGCCAAGCACCGGCUGCUCAUAUGGGAUGGGUGGGGGUGGUGCAGGUGCCCUGCAUGGGUUCCACUGCCCUAAAGAGGGUACAAAGGCCACACCUCCGUGUGUCUGCCAGGGCUGGGUUCAGAGCCUCCCUGGCUUCCUGGGCACUCUGCCUAUCACACAGCGAUUCCAAUAUGAUCACAUGUUCAGAACAGCCACACUUGUCAAAGCAAGGAGAGAACACUUCAGCAACGUUCAAAAACAUGUCUCCAGGGAUUAAAAAAAAAACACGGAAAGCUUCAUUUUCCUCCCUAGUGGGGAAGUCUUCCUUACUCACAGCCUCUUCCUGAGUUGGUGUCUGUCGUGAAGCAUUCUUUGGAAGCAUAGUAAGCGGAGGGUUUAAUUUACCAUAGUCGUACACAUUUGCACAGAAUCUAAAGUUUGCAGUGCGUUUCAUCAUCUUUAUGUGAAUCUCAUGCAGCUCUUACAGGGAAAACAGGAAGAACUGGCCCCAUUUUCUAAAUGUGGAGACAGGAGGAGGUGAGAUGGCUCGCCUCUGCCCAGCCGACUGGGAAAUGCAGAGCUCAGAGAGACAGCAAGUCAGGAGAUGUUGAUCCAGGGAGCUUUUCACUCUGCCACCCACCCCAUCGAUGGAAGCACCGACAUUAUCAAGGCUGCAUUUAGAUUUCAAAACAAAAGCAAGCAAACAUGCCGGGCUCGUGGUAUGCUGUUGUUUUAACCGAAAUGAUACAGCUGAAAGGGUGAGCAGCCAUCAGUGCUGUGAGCGAAGCGUGAUCACACAUCUUGUAUGUUUAGCAACUCAGGAGGUAGCUGAGCCUGGAAGUGACUUUCCUGGUAUGUAGCAAUUCAGAGAAUACAAAACCACAUUCAUUAUCUGAAAUGGGCUCAGCUGCUUCUGUGUUUUAUCAUAUAGAGCUGGGAACUUUGAUGUGUGUGGUGUGUGCGUGUUUUGCUGCAUAUACAGAUAAUCACACAACUGGAGGCUUCAGCCUUGCUGUUUACACACACACACACACACACACCCCAGCAGAUACAUCACACACAGACUUCUCACCUGUUACGUUACUAACAGUGGUGCUGGUUUGUUUGAACAGUGUUUGAACUUAUCAAUAACCUUCCUCCAGAAGGCUCAGCAUAGCUAUAGCAUAUGCUGUGUGUGGAAAAUAUAACCUAAGAAACAGAAUGGAAUUGAAUCAUGACCACUAUUGCUAUGAGACAGAAUCCACAGCGAUGGAGUGGGUGCUGGGGUCAGACUGCCUGAGUGUGUACCCUAGGUGAGUCACAUAAUAGCUGGGUGAAUGGCCAAGUUUUCACCUUUUUUCCCUCAUUUGGAAAAUGGGAUGAUAAUAGGAGCUAUCCUGAAGGGUGAUGAUGAGGGUUAAAUUAACAAUAUAGGUAAAGGCUUAGAACAGUGUGUGGCAGAUGGUAGGUAAGCCCUUAAUAAAUAUAAAAUAUCAUUAUUUGUGUCCAUCAUUUGAGAUAUAUCUCACAUCUUAUCCAGAGGACUCCCCAAACACUCGUGUUGUCACUUCUCUUUCCUGUCUCUGGGUUCCUCUACAAGUCAGUUUUGUACCAUGCAGUCUCGCAUUUGAUGACAUGCAGCAUUACUUAGUUCUGUGAAUGAUUCGUGUGUCUUAAUGUCACUUCCCCAACAGACUGUAAAUUUCUUGAUGGCAAGAACCAUGUAACUGGUUUUUGUUAGAUUUCUGCAACUCAAGACCCAAUCCUGGGCAACUGUUGGACACUUAAACAUCCUUCAUCACUAGCUGCGUUCAUCACUAGGAAAAAGUAAGAGAAAUCUGAUGGUAUGGGAUUGUAAGUGGGUAUUAGAUCCAACAGCUGAAACUUAAGAUGUGAAGAUGUAUAUUGACACACAUGUGCGUACAAAAUGUUUAUAGCAGCUUUAUUGAUAAUAGCCAAAAACCAGGAACAACCCGGAUGUCCUUCAACAAGGGAAGGGUGACCCAGCCCGUGAUGCAUCCGUCACACUGUGGAUUGCUGCUCAGCAACGAGGAGGCACAGACUCGAUACGGGAGCCAGCCUGGGUGACGCUCCAGAGAACUACCCUGAGUGGAGAAGGGCAGUCCCACCGUGUGAUUCCAUUAUUAUCACAUUCUUGAAAUGACAGAAUUAUAGAAAGGAGAACAGAGGAGUGGCUGCCAGAGUUUAAGGAGGGAAUGGGGAAAGGGGGAAGAGCAGCAUGCGGGAUCCUUGUGACGGAAGCGUUUUGUGUCGUGUGGGUGUCUGUCAGUUUCCUAGCUGUGAUACUGUACCAUUGUCUUGUAAGAUGCUGCCAUCGGUGGAAACUGGGUAAAGCAUAUAGGGGACCUCUCUGUAUGAUUUCUUACAACUGCAUGUGAAUUUACAGUGGUCUCAAAAUAAAGCAUUUAAUUAAAC
rnacentral:lncRNA from 1 species